UACAGAGGUCCCGAGCGUUGUUCGGAUUCACUGGGCGUAAAGGGUGCGUAGGUGGUGAGGUAAGUCGGAUGUGAAAUCUCCAGGCUCAACCUGGAAACUGCAUUGGAAACUACCUUGCUUGAGGAUUUGAGGGGGGAUUGGAAUACUUGGUGUAGCAGUGAAAUGCGUAGAUAUCAAGUGGAACACCAGUGGCGAAGGCGGCUCACUGGCCCGUAACUGACGCUGAGGUGCGAAAGCGUGGGGAGCAAACAGG
rnacentral:rRNA from 1 species